AGAGUUUGAUCCUGGCUCAGGACGAACGCUGGCGGCGCGCCUAACACAUGCAAGUCGAACGAGCGAGAGAGAGCUUGCUUUCUCGAGCGAGUGGCGAACGGGUGAGUAACGCGUGAGGAACCUGCCUCAAAGAGGGGGACAACAGUUGGAAACGACUGCUAAUACCGCAUAAGCCCACGGGUCGGCAUCGACCAGAGGGAAAAGGAGCAAUCCGCUUUGAGAUGGCCUCGCGUCCGAUUAGCUAGUUGGUGAGGUAACGGCCCACCAAGGCGACGAUCGGUAGCCGGACUGAGAGGUUGAACGGCCACAUUGGGACUGAGACACGGCCCAGACUCCUACGGGAGGCAGCAGUGGGGAAUAUUGCACAAUGGGGGAAACCCUGAUGCAGCGACGCCGCGUGGAGGAAGAAGGUUUUCGGAUUGUAAACUCCUGUCGUUAGGGACGAUAAUGACGGUACCUAACAAGAAAGCACCGGCUAACUACGUGCCAGCAGCCGCGGUAAAACGUAGGGUGCAAGCGUUGUCCGGAAUUACUGGGUGUAAAGGGAGCGCAGGCGGGAAGACAAGUUGGAAGUGAAAACCAUGGGCUCAACCCAUGAAUUGCUUUCAAAACUGUUUUUCUUGAGUAGUGCAGAGGUAGAUGGAAUUCCCGGUGUAGCGGUGGAAUGCGUAGAUAUCGGGAGGAACACCAGUGGCGAAGGCGGUCUACUGGGCACCAACUGACGCUGAGGCUCGAAAGCAUGGGUAGCAAACAGGAUUAGAUACCCUGGUAGUCCAUGCCGUAAACGAUGAUUACUAGGUGUUGGGGGAUUGACCCCCUCAGUGCCGCAGUUAACACAAUAAGUAAUCCACCUGGGGAGUACGACCGCAAGGUUGAAACUCAAAGGAAUUGACGGGGGCCCG
rnacentral:rRNA from 1 species